UACGUAGGUGGCAAGCGUUGUCCGGAUUUAUUGGGUUUAAAGGGUGCGUAGGCGGUUCUAUAAGUCAGUGGUGAAAUACGGCAGCUUAACUGUCGAGGUGCCAUUGAUACUGUAGGACUAGAGUACUGUUGAGGUAGGCGGAAUGGACGGUGUAGCGGUGAAAUGCUUAGAUAUCGUCCAGAACACCGAUAGCGAAGGCAGCUUACUAAAGAGUAACUGACGCUGAGGCACGAAAGUGUGGGGAUCAAACAGGAUUAGAUACCCUGGUAGUCCACACUGUAAACGAUGAUCACUAGAUGUUGGCGAUACACUGCCAGCGUUCCAGCAAAAGCGAUAAGUGAUCCACCUGGGGAGUACGCCCGCAAGGGUGAA
rnacentral:rRNA from 1 species